rnacentral:rRNA from 1 species
AUAUUGGACAAUGGGGGCAACCCUGAUCCAGCCAUGCCGCGUGUGUGAAGAAGGUCUUCGGAUUGUAAAGCACUUUAAGUUGGGAGGAAGGGUUCUAGGUUAAUACCCUGAAGUAUUGACGUUACCAACAGAAUAAGCACCGGCUAACUCUGUGCCAGUAGCCGCGGUAAUACGGUGGGUCCAAGCGUUAAUCGGAAUUAAUGGGCGUAAAGCGCGCGUAGGUGGUUCAGUAAGAUGGGUGUGAAAUCCCCGGGCUUAACCUGGGAACUGCUUUCAUAACUGCUGAGCUAGAGUACGGUAGAGGGUAGUGGAAUUUCCUGUGUAGCGGUGAAAUGCGUAGAUAUAGGAAGGAACACCAGUGGCGAAGGCGACUACCUGGACUGAUACUGACACUGAGGUGCGAAAGCGUGGGGAGCAAACA